rnacentral:rRNA from 1 species
CACGUAGGGGCCAAGCGUUGUCCGGAAUUACUGGGCGUAAAGGGCUCGUAGGCGGCCAACUAAGUCCGACGUGAAAUCCCCAGGCUCAACCUGGGAACUGCGUCGGAUACUGGAUGGCUUGAAUUCGGGAGAGGGAUGCAGAAUUCCAGGUGUAGCGGUGAAAUGCGUAGAUAUCUGGAGGAAUACCGGUGGCGAAGGCGGCAUCCUGGACCGACAUUGACGCUGAUGAGCGAAAGCUAGGGGAGCGAACGGG